GAACCAGUGAGCGUUGAAAAGCUUUUGGAUGAGAUGUGGGUAGGGGUGAAAUGCCAAUCGAACGUGGAGAUAGCUGGUUCUCCCCGAAAUAGCUUUAGGGCUAGCCUCAUGGUAAGAGUACAGGCGGUAGAGCACUGAACGAGGUAGGGGCCUGUCCGGCUACCGAACUUAAUCAAACUGCGAAUGGCUGUACUUAUACAUGGGAGUCAGACUGCGAGUAAUAAGGCCCGUAGUCAAGAGGGAAACAGCCCAGACCAACAGCUAAGGUCCCCAAUGCCGUACUAAGUGGCGAAGGAUGUGGAAUUUCGAAAACAACCAGGAUGUUGGCUUAGAAGCAGCCACCAUUAAAAGAGUGCGUAAUAGCUCACUGGUCGAGAGACUCUGCGCCGAAGAUGACCGGGGCUAAAGUACGGAACCGAAGCUUUGGCAAGUAUCGUAAGAUACUUGGGUAGGGGAGCGUUCCUGCAUGGGAGAAGCCUGACCGGAAGGACAGGUGGACAGGCAGGAAGAGAGAAUGCCGGUAUGAGUAGCGAAAAGAAAGGUGAGAAUCCUUUCCACCGAAAGCCUAAGGGUUCCUGGGCAACGAUCGUCGACCCAGGGUAAGUCGGGACCUAAUCCGAGGCGGAGACGCGUAGGAGAUGGACAACAGGUUGAAAAUCCUGUACCGCAGGAGUCUGUUUGAGCGAAGGAGUGACACAGAAAGGAAUGCGCGCGUGCGAUUGGAAGAGCACGUCCAAGCUGGUAGGUUG
rnacentral:rRNA from 1 species